UAGGGAAUCUUCGGCAAUGGACGGAAGUCUGACCGAGCAACGCCGCGUGAGUGAAGAAGGUUUUCGGAUCGUAAAGCUCUGUUGUAAGAGAAGAACGAGUGUGAGAGUGGAAAGUUCACACUGUGACGGUAUCUUACCAGAAAGGGACGGCUAACUACGUGCCAGCAGCCGCGGUAAUACGUAGGUCCCGAGCGUUAUCCGGAUUUAUUGGGCGUAAAGCGAGCGCAGGCGGUUAGAUAAGUCUGAAGUUAAAGGCUGUGGCUUAACCAUAGUACGCUUUGGAAACUGUUUAACUUGAGUGCAGAAGGGGAGAGUGGAAUUCCAUGUGUGGCGGUGAAAUGCGUAGAUAUAUGGAGGAACACCGGUGGCGAAAGCGGCUCUCUGGUCUGUAACCGACGCUGAGGCUCGAAAGCGUGGGGAGCAAACAGGAUUAGAUACCCUGGUAGUCCACGCCGUAAACGAUGAGUGCUAGGUGUUGGGUCCUUUCCGGGACUCAGUGCCGCAGCUAACGCAUUAAGCACUCCGCCUGGGGAGUACGACCGCAAGGUUG
rnacentral:rRNA from 1 species